rnacentral:tRNA from 5 species
GGGCGAUUAGCUCAGUUGGUUAGAGCGCCACCUUUACACGGUGGACGUCGGGGGUUCGAGUCCCUCAUCGCCCA